CAGCUUUGCUUCGCCCUUCCCUUAUCUCAUGGCUGGAUUUUCAAGCCUCCAUCGUUGAUCUAUCAUCUAUGACUUCGCUGCAUCUACGAUUCGUCCUUCACCUAGCCUUUUGCGUGAGAUGUACGCAUAUCUUCCCCAUUUUCUGUGGCUGUUUGAGCUACUACUAGAUUAAAAAAUCUAGCUACUCAAGGUGCUUUCCAGUUGUUUGAUUCGAAAGCUUCAAGAUCUUGCUGGAUUCUCUAUGAUUUAUUUGCUUUCCUUGGUAUCUUCAUCCUUAGGCAGCAGUAUCAAGUGAUAGAUUCAAAUGUUUGGGAAGAGAAAAAAAUUGCAUUGGGUUACCAAAUAAAUAAGAGCUCUCUAAAACUCCAAACUUUAAACUUCAAUAAGCAAGUUGAAGACCUGACAUUAAGGUUGCUUAUUGAAAACAAGUCCAAUGGGGAAUUUGGGUAUCUUGCUUACACUCUUGAUUGAAGGAGGCAUCUUUGGAGUUAAUAUAUUGAUUAUCAAGGGGCUUUCAUGUUGGAUUUAUUCUCUAUGGGUUGUGAAAGUCCAAAGCAAGCAGAGACCAAAAUGUUGUAAAAGCCUGAGCACAUGAAUAGGCGAUGAAGAAGAACUCUGCUGAUAUUGAAAUGACUUUGGGGAAAGGAAUUUUCUGAUAGAAAGCAUGUUUAGACUUGAAGUCCAGGUUUGAUGGGGUUGUUGUGUGCUUGUACUGAUCACUGACUCUCAUGUUUUAUGAAUUCAACUAACAAAAGAUGGCUUCACUUAGCCUCUUCUACUGAAUGUCCUUUAUUAAGGGAGCAACACGAAUCUGAGCUGCAUUUGUUUAGAGACCGGCAAGUGAUCCAGCCUGUUUGAGAGAUGAGGCUCAACAAUGGAUUUUGGAUUAGGCUCCUAAUGUUACUAUGGCUGAACUUUAUUUAUAUUUGGAGUAGUAGUUGUUAAAUCAAUUAGUCAAAUGUAAGUUAUUGGAGUAAUUUUAAACUGGACAUUUUCUUGGGAUCUCAUAGCUGUUACUCUUUGGGAUGGUGCUUAAGUUGUUACUCUUUGACAUGGUUAAGCUCCUGUGUUAUCCAUGUCAAUCGCAUUAGUUAUGUUUAUUAUAUAAUGUGCAUUAUUAACAUAAAAUUAUUUUGUAAAGCAAUCAAAAUGAGAGAUUAAACCUCCGUGCAUCGCACGGGUAUAAUCCUAGUAUUAACAAAUGGGUUAUCAUGAAGAUUUUAUAAAGCUGUAUAAGCUUUUGGA